rnacentral:misc_RNA from 1 species
GAGGUGGAGGUCUGAUGUACUCAGAAGUGACAGUUGCAGAGAUUAACAGAAACACCGUUAAGAUCAAUUUGGGCUCCAUUAAUUCAGAAGUAUUAAUUCAGAAGUACAAGUUCUUGCCAUAAUCAAGGAAGAAAUAAAGAUCCAUUACCAUUUCAUUGCGUGUGAAGAUUUUCGGUGAGUGCGGAUAUCGGUGGCAACUGGGGGUGUUUCGGUGUUAAUUGACGAAUUCACCUCCACAUUUGAUGAAG